UUGCAACAUGGAGCAUUUGCAGAGAGAGCGAGAGAGAGCAAAUGGCGACGAUCAAGGUCGCUUGAGAGCGAGAGAGAGAGAGCGCGAGAGCGAGAGAGAGCGAGCUAAUGGCGGCGAUAAAUGUUGUUAAAGCUAGGCAGAUCUUCGAUGGCCGUGGAAAUCGAAACGUUGAGAUCGUAAUCAGGCAUCGGUUCAGAUUGUGUGAUUCUCUCUUUUGAUGAAGAAAUUUCCGUUUCUUGUUCUUAUAUGCGAUGGGUGUUUCUCUCUGCCUGUUUAUUCCUUCAGGUGGAUGUUUGUCUGAGUGAUGGAACCCUAGCUAGGGCUACUGUUCCGACUGGGGCCUUGACACUGUUACUAUGACACUUCCAAGGCAACAGAUGAGCUCGUUCAGAAGAUACUACUGACAGGACUGGAGCCUGGAGCUGUUGAUGUGUUUCUUGAUUUCAUUUGCUACUCAGGUGGUCCUCUACCUGACGAACUGCUCACCCAAGUUAAGGAAGUUCAUGUUUCAGAGGACUUUGUUGCCGAGCAAUUGGGGUCCAUGCUUUCUGAUAUGUAGGUUGAUGUGGUUGCAGUCGAACACGACAUUGAGCAUGCAACAAGAAAAAAGAUUGAAGCAGAUGGGUGUGACGGUGAGGAACGUUUGUUUGUCAGUCACUAGAAAGACUGACAGGGAAUGAGCAGAGGGAAAUGUUAGCAAAGAUUGCAGUGGGGAAAAUGUCUAUAGAGCAGUUAUCUGAUCUGCUCUCAAGGUCUGCAGCACAAGGCAGCUUUCAAACUUGCGUGGAAAGCAACCGGAAGCAGAACUUUGCUUAGUGUUAUUUGUGUCUAUUUUGUUAGUUUAAAUAGACGGUUAACUAUUUGUCGGUAUUGUGUUUUUAUGCUUAGUCUUAUUUGUGCCUGUAGUAUUUUGAAAAUUUUAAAUAGACAGUUAACUGCUUUGUUAGUAUUGUA